AGCAAAGACAAGGAACAGGCACCCUUGCUCACUCCCUGAGAGGAGCUGCUUGUGUCCUUUAAUGGGGUAACAAUGGGAGCAGAUCCAUGGGUUGGGCAGGAGGCGUAGCCUAGGUGGUCAGCCCACCCCCUUGGUGGUGCUGUGUACCAUGCUUUUGCUCCCAGACCCUCAGAAACGGCAGUUGGUUUGUGGUUUUUUGUAUCCUAUUGUUCAUAAUUGCCCCAACUGCGUGUGUGUGCAGUUAUUUUUAGUCCCUUACAGUUUCAUUGUAUUCCGUUGCUCAAGGAGAUGUCUGUCCAGGUGCAAGCACUCUGGUAGAGGGUCCCAGGUCCCAGCCUAUCUCAGAAGGACCCAUAGGACACUUCUGGAGAAACGAAGGCAAUGAAUGGCCUCAGGGGUGACCAGCUGCAGUGUCAGAACUGCAGCGUAUGCAGAGCUGUGAACCCAGACAUUCUAGUCUUCUACUUUCUUUGCGUGCAUGUGAAAGUGAAGGGCAGAGAUGGUAGUGGAGACUGGGUUUUGACCAAUCUUCAAAAAAGAGCAGAUAUCUCAGGCACCCCUUUCCCUGGCUACUGUCAUUCUCCACAGAAGUCAUGUAAGAAGGAGAGAAUUGCUGCUGCACAUCAAGAAAUCAAAUUCAAGGUUUACUCUCCAGGUAUAAGACCAAGAAGUUAUCUCCAGAGAAGGACAUUUAUGAAGUCAGUUUAUCCCGAUGGAAGAUAAUAGGAGGAAGUAAAACUCUUUGUCUUAAAGGAUCUAUUUUGAGAAAUGAGUGGCAGAGCAAAAGUGAGUUUGAGGGUCAACAGGGACCUCGAGAUAGAUAUUUCAGUCAAAUGAAAAUCAUGUAUAACAUGCCAACAUGUAGAAAACUUAUUCAUCUUUUACUCUGAAUCAGAGAAUUCGUAAUAGUCAGAAACUUUAUAGGGAAUGUGGAAAACCCUUUAGUUGUGGCUCAAAUUUUGUUCAACAUGAGAAAGUUCAUUCUGGUGAUAAACUUUUGAUUGUAAAGAAUGUGGGAAUACCUUUAAUAGUGUCUAUCAGGAGUUCCCUAGCUGUCCAGUGGUUAGGACUCGGUGCUUUCACUGCCGUGGGCCCAGGUUCAAUCCCUGGCUGGGGAACUAGGAUCCUGCAAGCCACGCAGUGUGGCCAAAAAAAAAAAAAAGUGUCUAUCAUCUAAGUGUACAUCAGAAAAU
rnacentral:tRNA from 1 species